GACGAACGCUGGCGGCGUGCCUAAUACAUGCAAGUAGGACGCAGUUGCGAACGGGGGAGUAACGCGUAGGUAACUGCCUAUUAGAGGGGGAUAACUAUUGGAAACGAUAGCUAAUACCGCAUACUUGUAGAUGGACCUGGGUUGUUUUAGCUAGUAGGUAGGGUAAUGGCCUCACUAGGCGACGAUACAUUGCCGACCUGGGGGGGUGAACGGCCAACAUGGGACUGGGAAACGGGCCAGACUCCUACGGGAAGGAGCAGGAGGGGAUCUUCGGCAAAGGGGGGAACGCUGACCGAGGAACGCCGGGGGGGAGAAAAAGGUUUUCGGAUCGUAAAGCUAUGUUGUUAAGGAAGCGGUACUUAACCAGAAAGGGACGGCUAACUACGUGCCAGCCGCCGCGGUAAUAC
rnacentral:rRNA from 1 species